rnacentral:rRNA from 1 species
UACGUAGGGUGCGAGCGUUGUCCGGAAUUAUUGGGCGUAAAGGGCUCGUAGGCGGUUUGUUGCGUCGGCUGUGAAAUCCCGAGGCUCAACCUCGGGUCUGCAGUCGAUACGAGCAAACUAGAGUGUUGCAGGGGAGACUGGAAUUCCUGGUGUAGCGGUGAAAUGCGCAGAUAUCAGGAGGAACACCGGUGGCGAAGGCGACUACCUGGCCUGUUCUUGACGCUGAGGCGCGAAAGCUAGGGGAGCAAACGGG